AACGAACGCUGGCGGCAUGCCUAACACAUGCAAGUCGAACGAGACCUUCGGGUCUAGUGGCGCACGGGUGGGUAACGCGUGGGAAUCUGCCCUUGGGUUCGGAAUAACAGUUGGAAACGACUGCUAAUACCGGAUGAUGACGUAAGUCCAAAGAUUUAUCGCCCAGGGAUGAGCCCGCGUAGGAUUAGCUAGUUGGUGGGGUAAAGGCCUACCAAGGCGACGAUCCUUAGCUGGUCUGAGAGGAUGAUCAGCCACACUGGGACUGAGACACGGCCCAGACUCCUACGGGAGGCAGCAGUGGGGAAUAUUGGACAAUGGGCGAAAGCCUGAUCCAGCAAUGCCGCGGGAGUGAUGAAGGCCUUAGGGUUGUAAAGCUCUUUUACCCGGGAUGAUAAUGACAGUACCGGGAGAAUAAGCCCCGGCUAACUCCGUG
rnacentral:rRNA from 1 species